AAAGCUCAAAUUUAAAAUCUGGCGGUCUUUGGCCGUCCGAGUUGCAAUCUAGAGAAGUGUUAUCCGCGCUGGACCGUGUACAAGUCUCCUGGAAUGGAGCGUCAUAGAGGGUGAGAAUCCCGUCUUUGACACGGACUGCCAGGGCUUUGUGAUACGCUCUCAAAGAGUCGAGUUGUUUGGGAAUGCAGCUCAAAAUGGGUGGUAAAUUCCAUCUAAAGCUAAAUAUUGGGGAGANACCNAUAGCGAA
rnacentral:rRNA from 1 species